rnacentral:rRNA from 1 species
UACCAGCACCCCGAGUGGUCGGGACGUUUAUUGGGCCUAAAGCAUCCGUAGCCGGUUCUACAAGUCUUACGUUAAAUCCACCUGCUCAACAGAUGGGCUGCGGAAGAUACUAUGGAGCUAGGAGGCGGGAGAGGCAAGCGGUACUCGAUGGGUAGGGGUAAAAUCCGUUGAUCCAUUGAAGACCACCAGUGGCGAAGGCGGCUUGCCAGAACGCGCUCGACGGUGAGGGAUGAAAGCUGGGGGAGCAAACCGG